rnacentral:tRNA from 1 species
GCAGCUAGGACCGGUCAACCUUGGAUUGUCUCGUAAUGAAUAGGUCGACGGUUCGAUUCCGUCAGGCGGCUCCA